UACGAAGGGGGGCUAGCGUUGCUCGGAAUUACUGGGCGUAAAGCGCACGUAGGCGGAUUGUUAAGUCGGGGGUGAAAUCCUGGAGCUCAACUCCAGAACUGCCUUCGAUACUGGCGAUCUCGAGUCCGGGAGAGGUGAGUGGAACUGCGAGUGUAGAGGUGAAAUUCGUAGAUAUUCGCAAGAACACCAGUGGCGAAGGCGGCUCACUGGCCCGGUACUGACGCUGAGGUGCGAAAGCGUGGGGAGCAAACAGGAUUAGAUACCCCUGUAG
rnacentral:rRNA from 1 species